AGAUCUAUAGAGGUAUAAAAAGGCGAGGGGGGGAAACGUUAAUGCAGAGCGAGGACGCUGUGUUUUAUCUAUAGGCAGUUUUCGCCCACAAGGUGUAGGCAUUAACUGUCACUUAUAUCGAAAACGAAACUAACGGUUGAGAAAUAAGAAAUGCUUCUCUCGCAGCCUGGUUAAGAAAUGGCCUCUGAUAAGGACGGUGUUGUUGCUGCCUGGAAAGACCCUAGCUUGCCCUCUGUUUCAAAUAGGAUCACGGAAAACUGGCCCGAAACUUGGUGGGAGUGGAUUUGCCUUGGCGAAGGUCUGCGCUCUCCGACUGCUCUUGUAGUAUGGGAUAAACACAAAUCUGGAUGCACGCACAG